AUGCACAUUUUUCGUUUCAAUUCUCAGUCCUUGUGUUAUACUAUUGGUCAAAUAACAGAAGAAGCUGAUGCUGCUGUAUAUAAAGGCACUCAUGAUCACUUAUAUAGUUUGGAUUGACCCACUAAUACUCUUUUUUUUCUACAUUUUUUUGCAAGUCCUUAAUGAGCUUGAUUACCAAAGCAUCUCCUCCGCAUAUUGAUUAAUUAGUAUAUAUAUAUAUAUAUUUUUUUAAUUAUUGUUUCUUUUAAAACUGUCAGUGAUUAGAUCAGUAGCUCAGAUUCUACUUAAUGGGGAACACACAUUUAGGUUACACGGUAUGCAGACGGGAUGAAGACGGGGGACGGAGCUCGACGGGGGUGGGCGGCAUGGGGUGACGGAACGUCGAAGAAAGGGGGCCCACCUGGAGGAUCGUCCUGAACGUCGAAGAAUGGACGUUGAAGACGGGGACGGGGAGGAGGACGCAGGGGGCGGCAUGGUGUUGGCUCCGGCGACGGACCGGGACGGAGGGGGACGACCCCCAUACUCAGGGGCGGAUGUAUGUAGUAACAAGGGGUAGCUUCCGCUACCGCUUGGUCGGAAAUUUUUUGACGUUUUUACUGUAAAUUUUGGAAAAAUUUGACCUUUUUUCGAUUUCGUUACCGCCUAUUUAUAAAACGUUACCGCUUGGUCGGAAUCCUAGAUCCGCCACUGCAUACCGUCCAGCCUUAAAAGAUACCCGGUGGUGACCGGUCAGAGUUUUUUGAAUCCGAAGCAUCAUAUAUGGGCAGACAAAAUGUUGAAGGCUCAAAGUUUAAAAAUCAAAGAUUUAGGCUCAUUUGAAUUGAGAAGAAAAACAUCAUAUACACAUGAUCAAAGUAAUGAAUGUCUUUUAUUGUAUUUAAAAUCUUUAUAUAGUAUAUAUAUAUAUAUGCUUAAUUGAUGAUAUAUUAUAUGUACUUUUCACGUAACCCUUCUCAAAUUGGGAUGAGUUCGCUACUUUACAAUUACGUUUGUACAACUGGUACGUAGUUAUAUAUUUACAUAUACUAAACAACCUUCACAUCAUGUAUGAUUUUGUCUAUGUAGCUUCUAAUCAAUUGUUUACUUGCUAUUUGCUAACAAAUAAUAUGUUAUUAUUUCAUCCUUACAUGUUUAGAUAUGUUCAUUUAAUUUGUCAUACAAAAUCAUCAAAAUUUCACUAAAUACUUUUUCCUGGAGCUUAGACACUUGAACAUUUACCAUACUAAAAAAUUGAUCGUAUUUUGUUUACACCAAAAAUGGUAAUAAUAGUUGGUGCUCGUCUGCUAAUGUAAAUGGUUACCAGGUAUCUUUUAAAGCGUUUUCUUUUUUUCUUUUUACAAAAUUGAAAUGGUCCAACCCGUGAGGUUCACGGAUGAUAACCUAGUAAUAUAUAUACACAUAUCACACAUGUUAACACUUAAGGGAGUGAGCUAAACGCUCAAUUUACUGAAGUAAGAUUUCGGUAAAACGUAAUUGAUACAUAGACAUUUCAGUUAGUAUUUUAUGUCAAUACAUAAAUUGUUUGUUUUGUUAAAUAAAUGUAUUGU
rnacentral:lncRNA from 1 species